rnacentral:rRNA from 1 species
CUUGAGCUAAUACCGAAUACGCCCUUACGGGGAAAGAUUUAUUGCCGAAGGAACGGCCCGCGUCCGAUUAGCUUGUUGGUGAGGUAACGGCUCACCAAGGCGACGAUCGGUAGCUGGUCUGAGAGGAUGAUCAGCCUCACUGGGACUGAGACACGGCCCAGACUCCUACGGGAGGCAGCAGUGGGGAAUAUUGGACAAUGGGCGCAAGCCUGAUCCAGCCAUGCCGCGUGGGUGAUGAAGGCCCUAGGGUUGUAAAGCCCUUUCGGCGGGGAAGAUAAUGACGGUACCCGCAGAAGAAGCCCCGGCUAACU